CAUUACAGCCAUGUCACCCUGCAGCCCAAGACUGUAUACUCACUGAAGCUAAGCAGGGCUGAGCCUGGUGAGUACCUGGAUGGGAGACCACAUGGGGCAACUAGGUUGCUGUUGGAA
ensembl:rRNA 5S_rRNA 5S ribosomal RNA